GUGUCAGCAGCCGCGGUAAUACGGAGGAUGCAAGCGUUAUCCGGAAUCAUUGGGCGUAAAGCGUCCGCAGGUGGCACUUCAAGUCUGCUGUCAAAGGUCGGGGCUUAACUCCGAAGCGGCGGUGGAAACUGAAGAGCUAGAGUGCGGUAGGGGCAGAGGGAAUUCCUGGUGUAGCGGUGAAAUGCGUAGAGAUCAGGAAGAACACCGGUGGCGAAAGCGCUCUGCUAGGCCGCAACUGACGCUCAGGGACGAAAGCUAGGGGAGCGAAUGGGAUUAGAUACCCCAGUAGUCCUAGCUGUAAACGAUGGAUACUAGGCGUUGCUUGUAUCGACCCAAGCAGUGCCGUAGCUAACGCGUUAAGUAUCCCGCCUGGGGAGUACGCACGCAAGUGUGAAACUCAAAUGAAUUGACGGGG
rnacentral:rRNA from 1 species